rnacentral:rRNA from 1 species
GUCUUUUUGAAUUAAAUUUAAAGUCUAACCUGCCCACUGAAAUUUUUUAAAUGGCCGCAGUAUCCUAACUGUGCAAAGGUAGCAUAAUCAUUAGUCUUUUAAUUGAAGGCUGGAAUGAAUGGUUGGACGAAAUAUUAACUGUUUCAUUUAAAUUUUUUAUAAAAUUUUAUUUUUUAGUCAAAAAGCUAAAAUAAAUUUAAAAGACGAGAAGACCCUAUAAAUCUUUAUAUUUUGUUUAUUUUAAUUAUAAAGAUUAUUUUUAUUAUAAUAAAUUAAAAUAUUUUAUUGGGGUGAUAUUAAAAUUUAAAAAACUUUUAAUUUUUAAAACCAUUAAUUUAUGAAUAAUUGAUCCAUUAAUAAUGAUUAAAAAUUUAAGUUACUUUAGGGAUAACAGCGUAAUUUUUUUGGAGAGUUCAUAUCGAUAAAAAAGAUUGCGACCUCGAUGUUGGAUUAAGAUAUAAUUUUGGGUGUAGCCGUUCAAAUUUUAAGUCUGUUCGACUUUUAAAUUCUU